UACGUAGGGUGCAAGCGUUGUCCGGAAUUAUUGGGCGUAAAGAGCUCGUAGGCGGUUUGUUGCGUCGGCUGUGAAAUCCCGAGACUCAACCUCGGGUCUGCAGUCGAUACGAGCAAACUAGAGUGUUGCAGGGGAGACUGGAAUUCCUGGUGUAGCGGUGAAAUGCGCAGAUAUCAGGAGGAACACCGGUGGCGAAGGCGGGUCUCUGGGCAACAACUGACGCUGAGACGCGAAAUCGUGGGGAGCAAACAGG
rnacentral:rRNA from 1 species